rnacentral:lncRNA from 1 species
CACGCACGUGGAGGUUGGUUAAAGCAUCAGGAAGGGGAACUGCAAGAGCCAUCUAGGCAGGCACCCAGGACUGUGCCAGGGAAGACCUGGGUUUUAGUCCUGUCUCCAUCAACCUCAAGAAAUGGGACCUCAUGGAAGGGAGGGGAGGCAAUGCCGAGGAUGUGCUCCUGAGCAGGUGCCACAAUUCUUCACCUGUAAGAUUGCUGACAGAAAAGUGAGACCUCCUCCACCCCAAGGUCUCCUAAGAGAAUGCUGCUAGCCAAAAAAAGAUCUGCUGAUAAUUGAGGAAGAGCAUCUUUAAAAAGACACUCAACUACAUUUCAGAAACAUAAAGAUCUAAGUGUUGGCUCUACAAGGGAAGAAAUAAAGAGAAAGAACUUUUUUUCCUCCUACAACAGGUCUAGACAACGUCAUACAAGGAGUUGCACGCAUAUCCAAAACAAAAGCAAGGCAAAAACAAGCAAAAAAGCAACAAAUGCAUUCCAAAAUGAUGUCCAUUUAUCAGCCCAGAAAUGUACUGGAUACUGGUUUAGUUCAGCCUGUAGGUGCUGGGAAGAAAUUCCGACAAAUCCAAGUCAGUUGCAAAAAGGGAAAACUCCAGACAUAUCACCCAAU